rnacentral:rRNA from 1 species
UACGUAGGUGGCAAGCGUUGUCCGGAAUUAUUGGGCGUAAAGCGCGCGCAGGUGGUUUCUUAAGUCUGAUGUGAAAGCCCACGGCUCAACCGUGGAGGGUCAUUGGAAACUGGGGAACUUGAGUGCAGGAGAGAAGAGUGGAACUCCACGUGUAGCGGUGAAGUGCGUAGAGAUGUGGAGGAACACCAGUGGCGAAGGCGACUCUUUGGCCUGUAACUGACACUGAGGCGCGAAAGCGUGGGGAGCAAACAGG